UGAUAGUUGGAGGAGCAAACAUUUGUGGACCCGAUAACUUCCCAGAGUGAGGAAGGGGUCAGGAUCCAGUGAGGGAGGCAGAAAAAUAGCUCUCCCUGGAAGCAGACCCAGAGACAGACUGAGAAGCCUCAGCAUCUGAACUGGAUUUCUGAGUGUUCAAAAGUCAGCUAGGAAAAAUUCAUGAGAACGACGUCCAAUUUCCUUUAAGGGGGAUCAGAUUCUUUGACAAUGAGACAGGUCAUCUCCUGGCAGCACCCCACCUACCUCAAAGAAGAUAAUGAGCAUCAAAGAACCUCCAUAAAAAGAUGGCUUCAAAUGUGGCAAACGAGCCACUCAAGCAAAAAGAAAAUGCCCUCUUUUCAGGACAGCAGAAUCUACCAAAAGUGGACAAGCCUAAAUGCAGGACAGAUCAACUUCUGAACUCUACCAAGACAGGGUCGCUGCCCUCAGACCUCUCCUCACACCCUGCUGGGCAGAGCUAGAGCAAGCCUAACUGCGAAGGAAACUAGGAAAUCAGGUUGUCGGUAGGAAAAGCAUAUCUCUGUCCAGCAAAAACUCCAGGAAGCUGUUUCUAAAGGAAGAAAAAAAAAAGUGGAUAUUGGUAUCUAGCUGUUUCUGGCAUAAGAAACAAAAGCAAUU